rfam:Stegodyphus mimosarum contig7707, whole genome shotgun sequence.
GCUUUUGUGGUGUAACGGUAGCACACUCGGCGCAUAUUCGAGAGGUCUAGGUUCGAACCCUGGCGAGGGCA